UACAGAGGGGGCAAGCGUUGUUCGGAAUUACUGGGCGUAAAGGGCGCGUAGGCGGCCUGUUAAGUCGAACGUGAAAUCCCUGGGCUCAACCCAGGAACUGCGUCCGAUACUGGCAGGCUUGAAUCCGGGAGAGGGAUGUGGAAUUCCAGGUGUAGCGGUGAAAUGCGUAGAUAUCUGGAGGAACACCGGUGGCGAAGGCGGCAUCCUGGACCGGUAUUGACGCUGAGGCACGAAAGCGUGGGGAGCAAACAGG
rnacentral:rRNA from 1 species